CAGAUUCAUUCCUUGAGCUUUUGUAAAACAAAGUCUGAAGACUGGGGAACGGAUAGAAGGAGCAAAAGCUGCAAUGACCUACUCUCAGGAGGAAAGCAGUGAUCUCAGACUAUAACAACAAACGGUUUUCAGUCUCCCUGAGAGAAAGGGCAAAAGCAGUGGCGUGAAGAGGAGCUGGUACCUGAGUGGAGAGACUCGAGUUAGAGAUGGAUAAGGAUUUCAGGAGCCAAGGGGGUGAUUCAGAGAUGGUGGGGACUGAAAGUGAAUGAGUGACAGACAGGCUUUCCUCGUUAUAAAUGAGAUGUCGCUCCAGGUCUGAAUGCACGGGUGUAUCCUGCAAAAGUUUCACCCACAAAGCAAACAUCCCACUGAGUACACUGACAACAAGCUAAAAAGAAUCAGAGGCGGUGAUAGAACUCUCCAUCGUCUUGUGAUUGAACCCUCCAAUCAGGGCACAACGAUCCAUGGGGCACCUCCCUCCAGAGACCUGCAUUCUGUCCUGCUCAUUGCCAGUGGAGCUCAGGGAGGGAACAGAGCAAAUUCAUGCUCUGUAGAGAGACAGGUAUUUCCUCUCUCAUGAUGCCUAAAACUUAGAUACUUGAAUCAAACUAGGAAGCUCACAAAAGCUAGUUCAGACUUUUAGAGACCAAAUUAUGCAUUUGCACAGAGGUCAGAGAGCAGACCUGAGUCUUAGAAGGUGGUACGGACAGCAGGUGUGAGAAGCCUAUUUGCAGGCACUGGGGAAACAUGUUUUACCUGUCUAAUGCUUGCAGCAUUUAUGUAUUGAAUGGGACUCACCUCUUUAGUGGAGACCUGCAAGUGGUACAGGUGUGUGGGUAAUGUAGUCUUGGGUUCAGCUCUUCUGCCUCUCUUCCAUGGACAUCCUAUUCCAAAUGUUGCUUGUGACAGCCACAGUAUCUG